GGGACACAGUGGCUCGUGCCUCUUGUGGCCAGGGUCUGAGCCACAGCUGUCAGCCCCAGGCGGUACAGGCCUGUGGCGUCAUAACACCAGCCUGUUUUUGCAGGUGUGACCAAGUCAAAUGAGGUCACAGGAUGGGUCCCGUGUCUAAGGACUGGUUUCCUCAGAGGAAGAGGAGAGGGCCAGGGAUGGGACAAAUGCAGCCGCUGUUGCAGCAAAGACAGGAAUGAACAGCCUUUGGCACAUACCAGCCUGACAGACCGGCGAGAGAUAGAGAAAAUAUAUAAUAAUUUUUGUCUCACUUGGAGUGGAUAUUCUAAUAUCUUGAGGCAGAAACAGUCAUUGUGUGUUCUCCGUUGCUGGCUGCUGCUGGGCAUCACAGCAUCUGUGGAAAUGGAUACCAACUCCUAAAAUCAAUAUACUCUGAAUUGCUAGACA
rnacentral:lncRNA from 1 species